AAACAGAUGGAAAUUCUUGCGCCGUUGCUUGCUUCUUCACGUGGGGAAGGAUAUACUUUACUUUGCUCUGUUUCUUCUUUGUAAUCUAGCAAUGAAAAGACGGUUAGGGUUAAUAAUUCAUGCCAAAAUGGGUCCCUGAUUCACCACAUUGCCAUAUAAAUAACGUCUCUGCACUUCAAUACUCUUCUGUUCAUGUCCAUGGACAUUGCUUAAAGCUGAAGUUGAAUUUGGCGACCUUGAUCGAAGCUUUGUUUGAACUUCGGGGAGAUGAUAACCUGUUUGAGCCUCUAUCCUCUUGUUUCUGCCUCUUCAAGCAUUAGCUGUACCACUCACACCUUGAGAAAUAAGCAGCAUCUUGCAAAGCAAAAGUCAGUAGAUCUAGCUCUUGGCUAUCGGAAUCCACAUGGAUACAAUGGGUUCAGUUUCGGGUCAAGAAGAUCAAUACACAAGAGGGUGCACUCUCAUUUCAAGGGCAUAGCUGUUAUGACAGAUGACAAGUCAACAAUGUCAUCCACUGAGGAAGAUUUAGAAAACAUUGGCAUCUUGCACAUUGAUCCAGCCCUAGAGCCGUAUAAAGAUCACUUCAAAUAUAGACUCAAGAGAUAUGUGGAUCAAAAAAAGCUUAUUGAAGAACACGAAGGAGGUCUUGAGGAAUUUGCACGAGGUUAUUUGAAAUUUGGAUUUAACAGAGAAGAAGGUGGCAUUGUGUACCGUGAGUGGGCACCUGCUGCUCAGGAAGCACAAAUUAUUGGGGACUUUAAUGAAUGGGAUGGUUCCAACCACUGGAUGGAAAAAAAUCAGUUUGGUGUUUGGAGUAUUAGGAUCCCUGAUGUUGAUGGAAAUCCGGCUAUACCUCACAAUUCAAGAGUGAAGUUUAGAUUCAAACACGGGGAUGGAGUUUGGGUUGAUCGCAUCCCUGCUUGGAUCAAAUUUGCCACUGUUGAUCCUGCCAAAUUUGCGGCACCAUAUGAUGGUGUCUACUGGGAUCCACCACUUUCUGAGAGGUAUCAGUUUAAAUAUCCUCGUCCACCAAAGCCAAAGGCCCCCCGGAUAUACGAGGCUCAUGUGGGAAUGAGCAGCUCUGAACCCUGCAUAAACUCUUACAGGGAAUUUGCAGAUGAUAUUUUGCCCCGUAUUCGGGAAAAUAACUAUAAUACAGUCCAGCUGAUGGCUGUGAUGGAGCAUUCCUAUUAUGCAUCAUUUGGAUAUCAUGUAACAAAUUUUUUUGCUGUGAGCAGUAGAUCUGGAACCCCUGAAGAUCUUAAAUAUCUGAUAGAUAAGGCCCAUAGCCUAGGGUUGCAGGUUUUGAUGGAUGUUGUCCACAGUCAUGCUAGUAAUAAUGUUACCGAUGGACUCAAUGGCUUUGAUGUUGGCCAAAGUUCACAAGACUCUUACUUCCAUUCUGGAGAUAGAGGCUAUCAUAAAUUGUGGGAUAGUAGACUCUUUAACUAUGCUAACUGGGAGGUUCUUCGCUUCCUUUUAUCAAAUUUAAGGUGGUGGCUUGAGGAGUUUAAAUUUGAUGGAUUCCGAUUUGAUGGAGUAACAUCAAUGCUGUAUCAUCACCAUGGAAUCAACAUUACAUUUACAGGGGAUUAUAAUGAAUAUUUUAGUGAAGUAACAGAUGUAGAUGCUGUUGUCUAUCUGAUGAUGGCUAAUUGUCUGAUCCAUAGUAUUUUGCCAGAUGCAACUGUCAUUGCAGAAGAUGUUUCUGGCAUGCCUGGACUUGGUCAAGCAGUCUCUGAUGGUGGAGUUGGUUUUGACUAUCGUCUAGCCAUGGCUAUCCCUGAUAAGUGGAUUGAUCACUUGAAGAACAAGAAUGACUAUGACUGGUCAAUGAAGGAAAUCUCUUGGAGUUUGACAAAUAGGAGAUACACUGAGAAAUGUGUUUCCUAUGCUGAAAGUCAUGACCAGGCCAUUGUUGGGGACAAGACUAUUGCAUUUUUGCUAAUGGAUGAAGAAAUGUAUUCUGGCAUGUCAUGCUUGUCUGAUGCUUCUCCAACUGUUGAGCGAGGGAUUGCUCUUCACAAGAUGAUACACUUUAUAACCAUGGCAUUAGGUGGAGAGGGAUACCUUAAUUUCAUGGGCAAUGAGUUUGGCCAUCCGGAGUGGAUUGAUUUCCCAAGAGAAGGCAAUGGAUGGAGUUAUGAGAAGUGUAGGCGUCAAUGGAAUCUGGUGGAUACAGAUCACUUGAGAUACAAGUUCAUGAAUGCAUUUGACAGAGCCAUGAACUUGCUUGAUGAUAAAUUUCCAUUCCUUGCAUCAACCAAACAGAUCGUGAGCAGCACAGAUGAUGAAGACAAGGUUAUAGUCUUUGAGCGUGGAGAUCUGAUAUUUGUGUUCAAUUUUCAUCCUGAGAACACAUAUGAAGGGUAUAAAGUUGGGUGUGACUUGCCUGGGAAAUACAAAGUUGCACUCGAUAGCGAUGCCUGGGAAUUUGGAGGACAUGGAAGACAGUGAGAUUGGGAAACAACUAGGGAAAAAAAAUGGAACUACAUGCAAAGAAAUCAUAUAAACUUUUAUGAUUUUCCCCUGUGGGGCACGAUGUAGACCACUUCACAUCCCCAGAAGGCAUCCCGGGAAUUCCUGAAACAAAUUUUAACAAUCGCCCCAAUUCCUUCAAGGUCCUCUCCCCUUCCCGCACUUGUGUGGCAUAUUGUAGAGUGGAAGAAAGCCAAGAAGACAGUAAUAAAAAUUUGGUUGGGGUGACAGAGACUUCUGCUUCAGCAGAUGUUGCGGAUGAAUUGACUUCUGUUGGAACUGAAGAUAGCACUGUUGAUGGGGUGAAAAAGACAUCAGCUGCUGCAAAGGCUGAUGUUGGAAAAACUUCCGAUGAAUUGGCUUCUUUACCAUACAUAAAACCAGAUACACAAACUGGAUAAAGUGGAAGAGAUCACCGCUGCAGCAGAUGUUCAAGACAAACCAGAAGAUGCAGACAACUGAGAAUCUUUUUCCUUUGUGAAUACUAGUCUUUUACGUUGAUAUUGUCUGGGAUUCAAGUAGAUGUGGUAAGCAGGUAGGUUUUUGGAUAUUCCUGAAGGAAAUUCGAUGUAAAUUUUGGUAACGUUUUGUCUGUCAAUCCAUCAUGUAUAUUUCUACCGCUCGUGUGUGUAAUAUAACCUUUAAUC